UCCCUCUCUCUGUCCCCGAUCCAGAUCCUUCCCUCACCCCUCGUCUCGGCCUCUUCCUCACCCCUCGUCUCUGUCCCCGAUCCAGAUCCUUCCCUCGCGCUGUCCUCUCUUCCUUCCUGUCACCGGCGGCGCCCUCUUGCCCUCGCGCUGCGCCUGAACCUUGCUCCUGCUCCCGCUCCCAGCUCUUCUUCCUCCUUCGCUGCAGCUAGGGUUUCGUCUCCCCGAUCCCCAAUCCGCGAAGCUCGGAUCCAGCAGCAACAGCAGCGAUGGCGGCCGCGGGAGAUCCUCUCCAAGGUCAAGCACGUCCAGGCCAAGCCUGCUGGCCGCCCUUGCGGGUGACUGCCUCUGCGGUGACAGCGGCGGCCUCGUUGUCCCCGGAGGCCGCGGCGCCCCUCAAGGCUGACCUGUCACCCUUGGCGCCCGCGCCGCUGAUGCGGGCCCUCCUCCGCCACAUUGCAGAAGCUGGGCGCGCUCGUGUGGGACUAGGUGGUGCACGAGCACCAGGGGAAGAGACUCGUGACCCAUAUCUGGCUCCACGUCGGCGUCGUCCACCUGCUCGCGAACAUGCUCAGCCUCGUGCUCGUCGGGCUCAGGCUCGAGCAGCAGUUCGGAUUCGUGAGAGUCGGCGUCAUCUACCUCGUGUCCGACGUCGGGGGCAGCAUGAUGUCGUCCCUGUUCAUCAGAGACAACAUCUCCGUGGGCGCCUCCGGUGCGCUCUUCGGACUUUCUUAUCGUGCUAAUUGCAAAGUGUUAGACUGAAUGACUUAAAUGGAGUGUCUGCUGCUGGUUGGCUGCCUGGAUGCUGCUGCUGCUACUGUCAAUUUACUCUGGAACGAUUUCUACCUUGACAGUGGACGACCCUGCAGCAAUGGAGGAGCAUUCUUCUUCUGCUCACAGUCUUCAACAAAGGCCCCCUCCACCGCCAUUGUCAGCGAGAGCAGAGGACAAGGGCUUCAUGGCCAACCAAGGCGCAUAGUGCUCGCAAGCGACGAAUGGAGGUUGUUCGACAUAGACACGGAGGAGGAGGAGGACGGGCACGGACGGAGGAGGACAGAGCACCUCUCUUCUUCCAAGUUCUUCUCCUUACCUUCACUUCUUGUAUAGUUGUCUGUCAACGUCUUGGACUCUCUGACUGCUCCUCCUCUAGCCAAUGGUGAAGCGCCCGACGAGGCCAGCAGCAAGGCAACGCGGCGGGAUCGUUCUCCCAUGAUCGUCUGAGGCGCCUGCUCUGCUGCUCAAGCCGUAAUUGCAGUAUUGGCUCCAGUUUAUCUAAGUCGUGGAAGUAUUAGCCGUAAUUGCAGUAGAAAGCUAACAAAUAGUUUGAAAUUGUGAAUAAGAUGACAAUGUUGAUAUGGGAACUGCGUGUGGUAAAUACUUCCAAGUCUACUGCCUGAGUAUCAUCGACCCUGGCGAUUCCGACAUCAUCAACGCAACACCAGCUUGCAGUAAACCUGUGUAUGCCAUUUUUAGUGUAUCGUCUGAUGUGUCAUAUGAGGUGUUCUAGAGUGUAGUUCUUGCUGGACUUGAUUUGGUCUUGUGUACAUCAUUUAUCAGUCAAUCAAGUUUGAUGGGACUAUGGUUUUGGAUCAAAAGGUUUUGUUCUUGGCUUAACUAAUUGCUCUUUGUUGCGCUGCUGCCAACAAGCAUGGUUUUGCUGUGAUCAGCAGUUUUUUGUGUGUUGCUAUUUGACGUUGUUGUAGAGCUAUGUUUUUAUCAUGCUCUGGAUUUGAUGGAAAGAGUGGCCUCCAUGGAUUGAAAUGUUGGCUGUUAUGUAUUGAUUUUAGUAU